AGGUUACCAAUAUUUCCUUUGGUUUCCUUUUUUUCCCAGUUGCCUAUAUCAUCCAUUGCUUGAUUGCCGCACUCAACACACCUUCUUGGGUUUAUUGUAGGCAUUCUGGCAGACAUCAUCCUAUUUCCACAGUUUUUUUUCUGGGAUCUGUAGUAGAUGUUUGCUGAGCUAAAGGUCCUUACCCUGAAAAUUCACAAGAUCAGGAUUGCCUUGUAUUUUGAAUCCAAGUGUGUUAAUAUUUUGGGCAACUUUGCCAAGGUUACCAAUAUUUCCUUUGGUUUCCUUUUUUUCCCAGUUGCCUAUAUCAUCCAUUGCUUGAUUGCCGUACUCAACACACCUUCUUGGGUUUAUUGUAGGCAAUCUGGCAGACAUCAUCCUAUUUCCACAGUUUUUUUCUGGGAUCUGUAGUAGAUGUUUGCUAAGCUAAAGGUCCUUACCCUGAAAAUUCACAAGAUCAGGAUCAACUCGUUAUUCAACUAUUUACACUGUUUUUUUUCUGGGAUCUGUUGUAGAUGUUUUCAUUUGCUUAGCUAAAAUUCACAAGAUCAGGAUCAUCUCAUUAAUGUUGCUUUUUCCUCCCUGAUCAUUGGUACCGAUUAUGGUCCACUGGAUUUAGAUUCCAUGGCUCGGAAUAAAUGUGAUAAAAGUAUUGUCAUUGUUGGAAUUGAAUUUCUUGGUCCCUAGAAGCCAUUUGAAAUUUCUGUUAUUUGUUACUCCCUCCAUCCUAAAUAAUAAUAUGUUUGACUUUUUUGACUCCAAGUUUG
rnacentral:lncRNA from 1 species